GCAGAAGAAGCACCGGCUAACUACGUGCCAGCAGCCGCGGUAAUACGUAGGGUGCGAGCGUUGUCCGGAAUUAUUGGGCGUAAAGAGCUCGUAGGCGGUCCGUCGCGUCGAUUGUGAAAACCCGGGGCUCAACUCCGGGCUUGCACUCGAUACGGGCGGACUAGAGUUCGGUAGGGGAGACUGGAAUUCCUGGUGUAGCGGUGAAAUGCGCAGAUACCAGGAGGAACACCGGUGGCGAAGGCGGGUCUCUGGGCCGAUACUGACGCUGAGGCUCGAAAGCAUGGGUAGCAAACAGGAUUAGAUACCCUGGUAGUCCAUGCCGUAAACGAUGAUUACUAGGUGUGGGGAGAUUGACCCUCUCCGUGCCGCAGUUAACACAAUAAGUAAUCCACCUGGGGAGUACGCACGCAAGUGUGAAACUCAAAGGAAUUGACGGGGGCCCGCACAAGCGGUGGAGUAUGUGGUUUAAUUCGAUGCAACGCGAAGAACCUUACCAGGACUUGACAUGUCGCGAAUCCAGUGGAAACACAGGGGUGCCUUCGGGAGCGACCG
rnacentral:rRNA from 1 species